rnacentral:rRNA from 1 species
UGGGGAAUUUUGGACAAUGGGCGAAAGCCUGAUCCAGCAAUGCCGCGUGUGUGAAGAAGGCCUUCGGGUUGUAAAGCACUUUUGUCCGGAAAGAAAUCCUUGGCUCUAAUACAGUCGGGGGAUGACGGUACCGGAAGAAUAAGCACCGGCUAACUACGUGCCAGCAGCCGCGGUAAUACGUAGGGUGCAAGCGUUAAUCGGAAUUACUGGGCGUAAAGCGUGCGCAGGCGGUUUGCUAAGACCGAUGUGAAAUCCCCGGGCUCAACCUGGGAACUGCCUUUGUGACUGCAAGGCUUGAGUGCGGCAGAGGGGGGAUGGAAUUCCGCGUGUAGCAGUGAAAAUGCGUAGAUAUGCGGAGGAACACCGAUGGCGAAGGCAAUCCCCUGGGCCUGCACUGACGCUCAUGCACGAAAGCGUAGGGAGCAAACAGGAUUAGAUACCCUGGUAGUCCACGCCCUAAAACGAUGUCAACUAGUUGUUGGGGAUUCAUUUCCUUAGUAACGUAGCUAACGCGUGAAGUUGACCGCCUGGGGAGUACGGUCGCAAGAUUAAAACUUAAAGGAAUUGACGGGGU